rnacentral:rRNA from 1 species
UGGGGAAUCAUGGUCAAUGGGCGAAAGCCUGAACCUGCGACGCCGCGUGAGUGAUGAAGGUCGUAAGAUCGUAAAACUCUUUUCAGGGAUCUUAAAGCACAACCGUCAACAACGGCUGUGUGACUCUCCCUGGAAGAAGCCCCAGCCAACUACGUGCCAGCAGCUGCGGUAAUACGUAGGGGGCGAGCGUUAUUCGGAAUUACUGGGUGUAAAGGGUAUGUAGGCGGCCCUUCAAGUCGCGUGUCAAAGUCCAGUGCUCAACGCUGGGUGUGCGCGCGAUACGUACGGGCUUGAGGGCUGGAGAGNUGAGCGGAAUUCCCGGUGUAGUGGUAAAAUACGUAGAGAUCGGGAGGAACACCAGCGGCGCAGGCGGCUCACUAGACAGCUUCUGACGCUAAGAUACGAAAGCGUGGGGAGCAAACA